GAUGAACGCUAGCUACAGGCUUAACACAUGCAAGUCGAGGGGAAACGACAUCGUAAGCUUGCUUUUGAUGGGCGUCGACCGGCGCACGGGCGAGUAACGCGUAUCCAACCUGCCCAUCACUUGGGAAUAACCUCGCGAAAGUAAGACUAAUACCCAAUGACAUCCUACGAAGACAUCUGAAUGGGAUUAAAGAUUUAUCGGUGAUGGAUGGGGAUGCGUCUGAUUAGCUUGUUGGCGGGGUAACGGCCCACCAAGGCAACGAUCAGUAGGAGUUCUGAGAGGAGGGUCCGCCACGUGGGGACGGAGACACGGACCAAGCUCGUGCGGGGGGCAGGAGUGAGGAAGGUGGGUGAAUGGGCGAAAGCCUGAACCAGCCAAGUAGCGUGCAGGAUGACGGCCGUGUGGGUUGUGAACUGCUUUUAUAAGGGAAUAACGUGGGUCUCGUGAGACGCUUUGAAGGUACCUUAUGAAUAAGGACCGGCUAAUUCCGUG
rnacentral:rRNA from 1 species